rnacentral:rRNA from 1 species
ACUUACCAGGUCAAGACAUGGGCGUGAUUGACAGGCUAAUGACUUUUCUCGAUUCCAUGGAUGGUGGUGCAUGGUCGCACUUAGUUGGUGCAGUGAUUUGUCAGGUUUAUUCCGGUAACGAACGAGACCUCGGCCUUGUAAAUAGCUAUGCUGCUUACAGGGACAUUGGCGGCUACGCCAAGGAAGCUCGAGGCAAUUGCAGAUCUGGAAUGCCCUUAGAUGUCCUGGGUCGCACGCGUGCUACAAUGACGCCACGAACGAGCUUGCGUGAUGAAAGUUACGCAUAAUCAGCAGUCGGCGUCUUAAGGGAUAGUCUCUUGUAACUGUGGGACUCCAACUAGGAAUGUCUCGUAAGCACAAGUCAACAUCUUGUGUUGAUUACGUCCCUGCUCUUUGUACACACCGCCCGUCGCUCCUACCGAUCGAGUGUUUAGGUGAAUUUGAUGGACGUAAGGAAGUCAAAUAAACCUGAGCACUAGAGAAGAGAAGUCGAGCAUGUU